rnacentral:rRNA from 1 species
AGCUCCAAUAGCGUAUAUUAAAGUUGUUGUGGUUAAAAAGCUCGUAGUUGGAUCUCGGCGGUCUGAGGGCGGUUCGCUUGAUUGAGUGCUACUGCUCUAUAGGCCGUGGUUUUGCCAGAGGUCUCGGGGUGCUCUUAACCGAGUGUCCUGCGAUGCUGGCAGGUUUACUUUGAAAAAAUUAGAGUGCUCAAAGCAGGCUUUUACGCCUGAAUAUUCGUGCAUGGAAUAAUAGAAUAGGAAGUCGUUUCUAUUUUGUUGGUUUCUGGAACCGAAGUAAUGAUUAAGAGGGACAGUUGGGGGAAUUCGUAUUUCGUUGUCAGAGGUGAAAUUCUUGGAUUUACGAAAGACGAACAACUGCGAAAGCAUUUGCCAAGAAUGUUUUCA